rnacentral:snoRNA from 1 species
ACUAUAGAUGAUGACGAGAUGAUCCACUUUAUUCUCAAUGGUCUUGAUUUCGACUAUAAUCCUUUUGUGACAUCUAUGCUUGGUCACGUUGGCUUCCUUUCUUUGAGCAAUCUAUAUUCUUAAUUGCUUACAUAUGAUC